AAUAAAUACGAAAUAAUAAGUGAAUGCCACAUCUGGAAGGGGGCGUACACUCCAAGCGUCUAUGGUGUUCUGCGGUGUAGUUUCCGCGGCAAAAGGCUAAGGCUUAAAGCUCACCAUGCACUAUAUUAUCUUGAAAAUAAACAUGCCAUGUCAUCAAAAAUGCAUGUGUCACAUUUAUGCCACAGUAAACUUUGUGUCAACAUCAAGCACUUAAGUUAUGGGCCUCAAAGCAUUAACAAAAGGAAAAUAUGUGCUCAUGAAGGUUCCUUAUGCACUUGAAAAUGUUUUCAAGCUGUGUCUUGUUUACAAUGAUGUUCUCAUAGUCAGAUAUAUUUGCCCACUGUUUCCAAUUGUAGCACUUUGAUUUUCAGACUGUGGUACUGUUUGAUGUGGUCGCAGUUUAAUAGGGAGAACGAGUGGACCCCGAGAACGAUUACACGCAUUCAAGACAUCGUUAGCCACAGAAUCACCCAAUCGCACGACACUUUCCAGACUGUGGUACUGUUUGAUGUGGUCGCAGUUUAAUAGGGAGAACGAGUGGACCCCGAGAACGAUUACACGCAUUCAAGACAUCGUUAGCCACAGAAUCACCCAAUCGCACGACACUUUCCAGACUGUGGUACUGUUUGAUGUGGUCGCAGUUUAAUAGGGAGAACGAGUGGACCCCGAGAACGAUUACACGCAUUCAAGACAUCGUUAGCCACAGAAUCACCCAAUCGCACGACACUUUCCAGGUCAGGGUCUGAAUUCAACGGAAUAGAAUCUUGAACUUGUUUCUCUACACAGGGCACAUGCCUGCAGAAACUUUAUAGUUUGGAAAUACUCCUUUUUUGAAAAACUGUGGUACUGUUUGAUGUGGUCGCAGUUUAAUAGGGAGAACGAGUGGACCCCGAGAACGAUUACACGCAUUCAAGACAUCGUUAGCCACAGAAUCACCCAAUUGCACGACACUUUCCAGACUGUGGUACUGUUUGAUGUGGUCGCAGUUUAAUAGGGAGAACGAGUGGACCCCGAGAACGAUUACACGCAUUCAAGACAUCGUUAGCCACAGAAUCACCCAAUCGCACGACACUUUCCAGGUCAGGGUCUGAAUUCAACGGAAUAGAAUCUUGAACUUGUUUCUCUACACAGGGCACAUGCCUGCAGAAACUUUAUAGUUUGGAAAUACUCCUUUUUUGAAAAGUACACCUUUGUUUUUCCUAGCGUGAUUGUUUUUAUAACUGUGCUGUGAUUUCUUAUGGAGUGAUCUAAUUUUGAAUGGUAUUUUAAUGAAUGAAUAUCAAUAUUUGGUGCAUGUAUUAUGUAAUCAUAUGGGAAUAUACAUCUGUAAGACUGAUUGAUAGUGUCAAUAAUCAUUUUAAACAUUUGACAUAUAACUUGUGUGCUUCUCUACUAAAUAGAGUCAAAUGUUGUGAAUAGGAACACUAUUUUUUUGAUUAUUUCUGUUCUGGUUGUUUCCCUUGAAUUGUGUGAAUUUUUGGAAUUACUAUGAAAUACAAACAAAACACAGGAUACAGUUCAGAAAUGUUGCAUUUAAUUCAUUAAACAUUAUAUUUUAAUGUAACAAAAGCUUUUUGUUUUAUUAUGCAUAUAUUAAAAAACUUAAGGUGGCAGGGGAUAUAUCAGUGAAAGGGGGGUCCAUGAAAAUUACAUAUCUUUAGGGUAGGUGUUACCUAUGGUCUUUAAAAAUCAAUUAGGUAUUUAUAAGAUGUAUUUCUUGUGUUAGGUUGUAGAAAGAAUGUCUCAAAAUUUUGGAAAAAAACAUUACAACUAGCCACAGCUCCCUAGCAAGGAAAUUUUGAAUCUUCAAAAAGGAGGUUUUCACUUUUGUCGGAAGUCAAUAUUUCACGCUGCAGAAACAGAACAAAAUUUUGAAGGUAAAUUGUGAAAAAUCUAA